UCACGCCAGGUAGAGGAAAAAGAUACAUUAGUUUCUCAGCUCUCAAGAGGCAAGCAGGCUUUUACCCAACAGAUUGAGGAACUGAAGAGGCAUCUAGAGGAGGAGAUAAAGGCUAAGAACGCACUGGCCCACGCCUUGCAGUCUGCUCGCCAUGACUGCGACUUGCUCCGGGAGCAAUAUGAGGAGGAGCAGGAAGCCAAGGGUGAGCUGCAACGCACCCUGUCCAAGGCCAACAGUGAAGUUGCCCAGUGGAGAACCAAAUAUGAGACAGACGCUAUUCAGCGCACAGAGGAACUGGAAGAGGCCAAGAAGAAGCUUGCUCAGCGUCU